rnacentral:rRNA from 1 species
AUUGAACGCUGGCGGCAGGCCUAACACAUGCAAGUCGAACGGUAACAGGAAGAAGCUUGCUUCUUGGCUGACGAGUGGCGGACGGGUGAGUAAUGUCUGGGAAACUGCCUGAUGGAGGGGGAUAACUACUGGAAACGGUAGCUAAUACCGCAUAACGUCGCAAGACCAAAGAGGGGGACCUCCGGGCCCCUUGCCAUCGGAUGUGCCCAGAUGGGAUUAGCUAGUAGGUGGGGUAACGGCUCACCUAGGCGACGAUCCCUAGCUGGUCUGAGAGGAUGACCAGCCACACUGGAACUGAGACACGGUCCAGACUCCUACGGGAGGCAGCAGUGGGGAAUAUUGCACAAUGGGCGCAAGCCUGAUGCAGCCAUGCCGCGUGUAUGAAGAAGGCCUUCGGGUUGUAAAGUACUUUCAGCGGGGAGGAAGGGAGUAAAGUUAAUACCUUUGCUCAUUGACGUUACCCGCAGAAGAAGCACCGGCUAACUCCGUG